CGGUGCUGUCCAUGCAGGCCCGGUAAUAGUUCUCUCCUGCGGUCGCUGCUCCCACCACAUCCCUCAUCUGAGAAACAGGAACCAAAAGACCCACUUGGUGGAUCCCAGACCCUCGUAGUCGGAGCCCCAGUAGAAGAGACAGGCGUUGAUGUGCAGCGAGUAGAGCAGGGUGAGGAAGAGGAGGAAGAGAGGAAGAGCGCCUCACCUUCAGCAGGCGGGGGAAGCGCAGCAGGGAGUUCACGCCUGUGAAGUAGUAAAAUACCUCCAUGGGRAACAGGCUGAUGACGUCCAUCUGGGAACAAACGGAACACGGGUAGAACCAGUGAAACCAGUUAGAGCCGUUCCUGCCGGGUCGGAWGCAGGAMGGCUCUGAGUCUACGCACCACGAUGUCUCCGCCGCGAACG